AAUAGUUACGAAGUAGGGGUCGUGGCUGCUCUUAUCUUUCUGCUAUUACAAUACAGAUAGAUAAUUCUUCAAAUUGACUAGUCAUUAAAAAUGAAUCACUGUAUUGAUGUAACAGUAAUGUAAUCCGUGCUAAAAACUAAUUCUUUUUAUAAAGAAUACAACUGCUCAAAACAACUAAUACAAUUGGAAAGACCAGGAAAAGAUUUCAUUUCUAACAGAUUCAUAAAAUGAAGAACCAAACAAACAUAAUACAUGGACCUCAAGAUGUUUUAAAUUUACCGAAAGAUUUAUCAUUAGGACAAUUGCUAUUCGAGCAGUUAAGAAUACACGGUUCUCGAGUCUCCCAGGUAGAUGCAAUUACAGGAGAAGAACUGACUUAUGAACAAAUUUUAGAUCGUAGCAUCAAACUGGCAAUAUAUUUAAGACACGAAGGACUCGUGUCAAAUGACUGCAUCUCGAUAUGCAGUGAAAACAAUUUAAAUUUUUGUAUACCAAUGUGUGCUGCAAGUUAUUUGGGUGUAACAAUCAAUACAUUAAAUCCACUAUAUACUGAAUCAGAGUUCCAACACACAUUGAACAUUUCCAAGCCAAAAAUUAUUUUUGUCUCAAGAGUAUCACUGAAAUCUAUACAGAGUAUUACAAAAGAUUUCUCAUGGAAGCCAAAACUAAUUUUAUUUUUUAAAUCAAAUGAUGUUAACUUACCUAACAUAUAUGACAUCGUAUCGAAUAUUAAAGAUGCAGAUAAAAAUACAUUACAAAUUUGCAAGAUUGAUGUAACCACUCAUGUUGCAGUAAUACUUAAUUCUAGUGGAACUUCAGGACUUCCUAAAGGAGUUAUGUUGACAGACAAGAACUUGUUAGCUGUUAUCAAAAGUCUUGGCAAUCCAUCAUAUGGGUUUCCACAGAACGACGUAGUCACAUUGGGACUUUUACCACUCUUUCAUAGUUAUGCAUUCAUUACAUCUAUUAUGAAAUUAGUAAUUGGAAUAAAAACAGUGUUGUUACCACGUUUUGAAGAAGAAACGUUUUUAAAAGUUAUAGAGCGGUACAGAAUACAAUAUCUAUCUCUGGUGCCACCUUUAGUACUUUUCUUAGCUAAACAUCCAAUUGUUGAUAAGUAUGACCUAUCCAGUGUAACUACAAUAACGUGUGGAGCAGCUCCGCUGUCUCAGGAAAUUCAAAAUACAGUUUCUAAACGAUUGAACCUUAAAGAGAUCAAACAAGGAUAUGGAUUAACGGAAACAACAUUAGCAGUUACUAUUACUCCAAAUUGUAAAAAUAAACCUAAUAGUAUUGGACUGUUACUUCCGGGUGUAUCGGCCAAGGUUAUACCAAUAGACGAUAAUGACUCUAAUACAGCAUUACCCCCUAAUUGCAAGGGUGAAUUAUGCUUCAAAGGAGAUUUUAUCAUGAAGGGAUAUUGUGGGGAUACUUCUUCCACGGCCGCAACCAUUGAUGAAGAUGGUUGGCUACACACUGGGGACGUUGGCUAUUAUGACGAAGAUGGUUACUUUUUUAUAGUUGACAGACUAAAGGAAUUAAUUAAGUAUAAAGGUUUCCAAGUACCACCAGCAGAAUUAGAGGCAAUCUUGUUGACACAUUCAGGAAUUAAAGAUGCCGCUGUCAUUGGCAUUCCAGAUGAAGAAGCAGGUGAAUUGCCCAUGGCUUUUGUUGUUUUACAACCAACCUCUAAAAUAACAGCUGAUGACAUUAUUAAAUAUGUUAAUGAACGUGUAUCUAGUCACAAACGCUUGCGAGGAGGUGUUCGCUUUGUGGACAGUAUUCCAAAAGCUCCUUCUGGGAAAAUACUACGCCGAGUUUUGAGAAACCAAAUAAAAUCAAAAUUAUAGGUCAUGACUAUUACCAUUGCCCAAAAAGAGCAGUCGAAAUUAUAGUGACCAAAUUUAAAUAAACCAUCCAGUUUAUAGUUUUACAAGAAUGCGGGAAAUGUACCAAUCGUGAUCUUGGCCUGGAGCUGUUGCCAACACUCCACCACUAUUAACUCGAUUUGUUUCUGCAUCAUAUGAAUACGUUGCACCAUGGAUAUCGGUUAACGUGCCUCCAGCAGCAUGCAGAA
rnacentral:misc_RNA from 1 species